AUGGACUGUAGCCUGCCAGGCUCCUCAGUCCAUGAAAUGCCAAUCCUUUCUUCACCGUCUUGAGUCAUCAUCAGAGAAUCUUAGGAUUCUGUGGUUUCUGGGUUGUCCAGCCUGGAAAAUUUGGAAUCCUUUUCCAAAAUGACCUUUCCCUUCUCUUUGCCCUUUAAAUUCAGUUAUUCAAGUCCUGUGGUUUUCAGAGUCAUCACCCAACAUCAAAUUUUCAUUGUUUCACACCUCUCCCGGUUAGUUGAUCUCUGGAAGUAUUCUUCUUUAAUAGCCUUUAGUUCUUAAGAACCUACAACUGGUUCAUUAGUGUUUGUUUCAAAUACAAACUUCCAAGCCUGCUUGGCUCUUUUUUUACUCUUAGAAGUGCUGCGAUCUGUCCCCCUCUUGUCAUUUUUUUUGUUACUUCUGCCAAGCAAAUAUGGCCAUAAAGUCCUUACUCGUUUCUCUUCUCUGCACCUUCCCUGAAUUUCUUGUCUGGGGGAAACUUUGUCUCUACCAAUCAGACUCCCUUUCUCAUGACCCAAUAGUGUCACUUCUGGGAAGCUAGUCCUAGUCUAUACGCCAAGUUUAGCAUAAAUGUUUAUGUUCAGGAGAGCAAUUAUGGAUUGUAGUAAAACACUGGAAACAAUAUAGAUCCAAGCACACUGCUACAGGAUAGGAUUGGUUCAUAUGGUAGACACAAAAAUGCCAGGUAGCCAUUAAAAUGAUGUAGUCUUCUAUUAUUAUGUUGUGGGAAAUUGUGCAAGUUACAUUUUUAGAUUUCAAAAAGGUGGUAGUUCUUCUGGUGACAUGUGGUGGAUGCAAAAACAAUAUGUUUAAAUUCUGCAUUUAAAAAGUAUAAAAAUACCCAGGCUUAUUAUUAGACAAAUAGUAGAGAAAGUCUUGCAUGAACUAAUAUGACAAAGAUACAGUAUGAACAAAUCAUUAUGGUUAACACAGUUCAACCACUUGAGGUCCACAGAAAACAAAAACUUCUGUUAAACUCAUCUUCUUAACUCAUUUAAAAAUGACCUCUUUCCUCUUUUCCUCCUUAGCUUACAAAUCUGUUUUAAUUUACAAAUGCAGUUUAAAGCCGAACAAAAUCUAUACUCAAAUCUUUGAAAGAUGGAACUUGUGUGUUAUUGAAUAAGACAUUUUAAAGUCACAGUAAAUGUUAAAAAGAAAAAUCUGAGGUUUUAUGGCCAAAAUGAGUCUUGACAUCAAAUGCUGAAGAGUGUAAGAUUUCUUCUCUUGAUGCAUCGAUUGACUUUUGUAUGUAAAAGAUUUUUAAGCCUAUGAACUCGAUUAUAUCACUUGUGACAAUAAUUAAAAAAUGCAUAUGAGCAUUUAUAUGUUAGGAUGUACUGUGUGUUUCAUUGAAAGAAAAUGCUGUUUCUUUAAAAAAUAAUUUUAAUUAAGUCAUUUUGAUAAACUUUAUUGGCCCUUCCUCUCAUGAAUUUGAAAUUUGGCACGUUGCUUGGUGACAAAUUGUAAGUGCUUUUCGGUUAGGCAAUCUCCACUCUCCCCACCUACACUUAAAGCAACAGAGAGAUUUUUUAGUUAGCACCCAUUUUAGGACUGGUUCUAGUGAUUGCUCUGUAAAUGUCAGCUAGUUGACUUCCUGUCUGACCUGCUUUGGGCAUUUCCUGCUCAGUAGCAUGUCCACCAGGGGGCGGACUGGGCUUGAGAGGAGAGAAGGAAAGCAAAUUUUUUUCUGGCUACCUUUGUCUUCCCUCUCCCCAGUCCCAGCCUGGUGAAGGCACAGAGCUCCUGGAACACAUGUCCAGCUACAAAGGAACACGUGGGCAACACAAAGGAACCUUUUGUCUUCUGAAGUGAUGGAUGACGUGUGUUUAUACAUUCUCUUCUUAUAGCACACUCAAUGUAGAAGGAAAGGGGGAAGUAUGCUGGUUUACCCAGGACUUAAAAGUGUGUUGACUAUAAAGCAAUUGAGUAAUUACGGGAUUUCUAAUACUUUGGUGUCCUUGGGAACCAGAAUUUUUUGUGUGGCGGGUAGGAGGUACAAAUGUGAUAUGGAAGUUAAAAACCCUUUAGCUCUGAAUUUGAAUAGGAACUAUCAGUUUGAACUCAAGAGGUGCUUUAUUUUCCUAUCCCUAUCCACUGAAAAGAUCUAGAAACAAUCUAGUAGCAAUAAACACUCCUACCACCUAAAUUUUUUUUUUUUUUCACCUAAAUCUUAAAAUACCAUUUUCCAUGAAGGAAACCAGAGCUCGGGGUAGGUCUAGGGUGCAUGUGUGCGUGCUCAGUCCUGUCUGACUCUGCGACCUUAUGAAAUGUAGUCUGCCAGCCUCCUCUGUCCGUGGGCUUCUGCAGGCAAGAAUACUGGAGUGGGUUGCCAUGUCUUCCUCUAGGGAAUCUUCCCAACCCAGGGAUCAAACCUGUGUCUCUUAUGUGUCCUGCAUUGGCAGGUGGGUUCUUUACCUCUAGUGCCCGGUCUAGGGUAGGAGAUAUACAAGGAAAGCAUGGAACUUACCAUACCAGAUAGAAAAGAAGCCAGUAAACAUUAUCAGGGUAAAGUCAAAAGGACUCAGGAGCCAAGCCUAUGGCCAAAGAUGGGAUAAUUUGAGCAUUAUAAGGAUAACUUAAUAAACGUUAAGUAUGUUUAAAUCCUUGAGUUCAUAAUGGGUGUGUGUGUGUGUAACUGAUGGUCACAAAUAAAAAACCAACCUGGUCAUGUUUGAAGGAUGAUAUGAAACCAAAUCAUUAUUUUUUUAAAUAACUAAAACAUUUAUUUGUGCCGGGUUCUAGUUGCGGACCAUGGGGUCUUUGGUUGUGGCAUGUGGGAUCUAGUUCCUUGACCAGGAAUUGGGACUGCUGCAUUGGGAGCUCAGAGUCUUAACCACUCACUGGACCACCAGAAAAGUCCCCAAAACAUUAUAUUGAAGAUGGUAAAUUAAGGAAAAGAAUCAGGCAGUUAUCUUGCUGUACCUGUAUAAACUGUGCCUCAGGGUAAUGAAAACAGAAAAUAAAAGGAGUGUCCCUUUGUAAGGGAAUUCCAAAGAUUAUGACAGAGUUUGAGGAGAGCUUUUCUGAAAUCCCUAACAAAUUAAUGAAUCUAGGCGAUCAACAUCUGGGCCUGGAUUCAAUGGUUAAAUUGAAGAAAAUAGUAGAGGGGUAACCUGUAGAUUAAAAGAGAUAUAAAAGGUAUACAGUUUUUUUUUUUUUUAAUGGAUAAGGUUAGGCUAUAAUGUCUAGGGUUCUGGAUUUAGGUAAUACAGGAAAAAAAAGCAAGGAUGUGAUUAUCAUGAACCAUGGUGUCAAUUUACACCAGGAAGGAGGGACUGUGAAGAUGAGGAACGUGGUGGUGAUGGUGGUGGCAAAGUUUUAGUGUUUGGCAAAGUUCUAUUUUUCUGGGUAAUGACUUCAAGGUUCGAUUUAGUUUAUUAAGCUAUACUUUUAUUUUGUACGGUUUUCUAAAUCUGUGUUUUAGUUUAAAAAAUAAAAGUUUAAUAAAAUGUGUUAACUAUAUUUUAUCAUUUAUCCGGAGCUGCAGGGCAUGCAAUUUUGUUCUAGUUGGCAAAAUCUUUUUUUUUUUUUUAAUGGGGGCUUGUCCAGGCUUUUUAUUUUUUAAAAUUUAAA
rnacentral:lncRNA from 1 species